UUCGCCCUUAGAGUUUGAUCCUGGCUCAGGACGAACGCUGGCGGCGCGCCUAACACAUGCAAGUCGAACGGAGUUUGAGAGAGCUUGCUUUUUCAAACUUAGUGGCGAACGGGUGAGUAACGCGUGAGUAACCUGCCCUGGAGUGGGGGACAACAGUUGGAAACGACUGCUAAUACCGCAUAAGCCCACGGUGCCGCAUGGCACAGCGGGAAAAGGAUUUAUUCGCUUCAGGAUGGACUCGCGUCCAAUUAGCUAGUUGGUGAGGUAACGGCCCACCAAGGCGACGAUUGGUAGCCGGACUGAGAGGUUGAACGGCCACAUUGGGACUGAGAUACGGCCCAGACUCCUACGGGAGGCAGCAGUGGGGGAUAUUGCACAAUGGGGGAAACCCUGAUGCAGCGACGCCGCGUGGAGGAAGAAGGUUUUCGGAUUGUAAACUCCUGUCGUUAGGGACGAUAAUGACGGUACCUAACAAGAAAGCACCGGCUAACUACGUGCCAGCAGCCGCGGUAAAACGUAGGGUGCAAGCGUUGUCCGGAAUUACUGGGUGUAAAGGGAGCGCAGGCGGACCGGCAAGUUGGAAGUGAAAUCUAUGGGCUCAACCCAUAAAUUGCUUACAAAACUGCUGGCCUUGAGUAGUGCAGAGGUAGGUGGAAUUCCCGGUGUAGCGGUGGAAUGCGUAGAUAUCGGGAGGAACACCAGUGGCGAAGGCGACCUACUGGGCACCAACUGACGCUGAGGCUCGAAAGCAUGGGUAGCAAACAGGAUUAGAUACCCUGGUAGUCCAUGCCGUAAACGAUGAUUACUAGGUGUUGGAGGAUUGACCCCUUCAGUGCCGCAGUUAACACAAUAAGUAAUCCACCUGGGGAGUACGUUCGCAAGAAUGAAACUCAAAGGAAUUGACGGGGACCCGCACAAGCGGUGGAUUAUGUGGUUUAAUUCGAAGCAACGCGAAGAACCUUACCAGGUCUUGACAUCCGACUAACGAGAUAGAGAUAUGUCAGGUGCCCUUCGGGGAGAGUCGAGACAGGUGGUGCAUGGUUGUCGUCAGCUCGUGUCGUGAGAUGUUGGGUUAAGUCCCGCAACGAGCGCAACCCCUGCCAUUAGUUGCUACGCAAGAGCACUCUAAUGGGACCGCUACCGACAAGGUGGAGGAAGGUGGGGAUGACGUCAAAUCAUCAUGCCCCUUAUGACUUGGGCUACACACGUGCUACAAUGGCGGUAACAAAGGGAAGCAGCCUCGCGAGAGUGAGCAAACCCCAAAAAUGCCGUCUCAGUUCGGAUUGUAGUCUGCAACUCGACUACAUGAAGCUGGAAUCGCUAGUAAUCGCAGAUCAGAAUGCUGCGGUGAAUACGUUCCCGGGUCUUGCACACACCGCCCGUCA
rnacentral:rRNA from 1 species